AAUGGAUAAACGAGUAGGUAUGGAAUAAUGAGCGAUGCGCGGUUUUCGUGUGUAGUCGUAUUAAUAAUAUAUUAAAAUGAACUCCCGACAAUGCCGUAAUAAUGAAUAAUAGCAUAGGUAUAUAAUAUUAUAAUGAUAUAAAAACGCACGGCGACAACGACGCGUGUAAACAUACAAACAUUAGGUACUUUAAACAAACGCGAAACGACAAUACAAAAUUAU